UACGUAGGGUGCAAGCGUUGUCCGGAAUUAUUGGGCGUAAAGAGCUCGCAGGCGGUUCGUCGCGUCGGCUGUGAAAACCCGGAGCUCAACUCCGGGCCUGCAGUCGAUACGGGCGGACUGGAGUGUUGCAGGGGAGACUGGAAUUCCUGGUGUAGCGGUGAAAUGCGCAGAUAUCAGGAGGAACACCGGUGGCGAAGGCGGGUCUCUGGGCAACUACUGACGCUGAGGAGCGAAAGCGUGGGGAGCGAACAGG
rnacentral:rRNA from 1 species